rnacentral:rRNA from 1 species
UACAGAGGGUGCAAGCGUUGUUCGGAAUUAUUGGGCGUAAAGCGCGUGUAGGCGGCUUUGCAAGUCGGGUGUGAAAGCCCUCAGCUUAACUGAGGAAGUGCGCCCGAAACUGCAGAGCUUGAGUACCGGAGAGGAUGGUGGAACUCUCGGUGUAGAGGUGAAAUUCGUAGAUAUCGGGAGGAACACCAGUGGCGAAGGCGGCGACCUGGACGGACACUGACGCUGAGACGCGAAAGCGUGGGGAGCAAACAGG